CAGUCGCCACGGGAAUACGAACCGUGCGAACGUUAUUCGGAAUUACUGGGCUUAAAGCGCGUGUAGGCGGGCCGCCACGUCGGUUGCUGAAAUCCCCCGGCUCAACCGGGGAAGUGGCAUCGAUACGAGCGGCCUUGAGGGGGGUAGGGGGAUCUGGAACUUCCGGUGGAGCGGUGAAAUGCGUUGAGAUCGGAAGGAACGCCCGUGGCGAAAGCGAGGUCCUGGACCCUUUCUGACGCUGAGACGCGAAAGCCAGGGGAGCGAACGGGAUUAGAUACCCGCGUAGUCCCUGUCUCUUAUA
rnacentral:rRNA from 1 species